rfam:Nitratiruptor sp. SB155-2 genomic DNA, complete genome.
GGGGUCUUAGCUCAGCUGGGAGAGCGCCUGCCUUGCACGCAGGAGGUCACCGGUUCGAUCCCGGUAGACUCCA